AUAUUUCUAUACUGUGAGUAAAAUUUAGUGAAGGAACUUGACAGGUA
rnacentral:rRNA from 1 species